GGAGGGAUGGCAGAGCGGUUCAAUGCACCGGUCUUGAAAACCGGCGUCCGAAAGGACUCGUGGGUUCGAAUCCCACUCCCUCCG
rnacentral:tRNA from 1 species